UACGUAGGGUGCGAGCGUUAAUCGGAAUUACUGGGCGUAAAGCGUGCGCAGGCGGUGCACCAAGCUCGAUGUGAAAGCCCCGGGCUUAACCUGGGAAUUGCAUCGAGGACUGGUGUGCUCGAGUGCGGCAGAGGGGGGUGGAAUUCCACGUGUAGCAGUGAAAUGCGUAGAGAUGUGGAGGAACACCGAUGGCAAAGGCAGCCCCCUGGGCCGACACUGACGCUCAUGCACGAAAGCGUGGGGAGCAAACAGG
rnacentral:rRNA from 1 species